rnacentral:lncRNA from 1 species
GGGAAUAUCUAUGAGUUCAGGGCCAGACUGGAUUCCAGAGUGAGUUUCAGGUCAGCUGUAGUUGCACAGUUAGUCCUUGUCUCGGAAAAAUAAGUCUUCAUAUGAGUUUCUAAAAUGAAGUUCUGAAAACACCACUAAGUUGGGAAACCUUCGCUGAGGCUGUAGAUGUUUGUUCCGUGAUGGCCCUGGGUUAAGCACUCUUGGUAUUGUAUUGUAGAACUCAAAUUCCUCACUGCAAAGCAACUACUUUGACAAUUAUUCAUAAUCUGUCAGUAGUCAAUGUUAUAUAAUAAACAAAAUGGAACUUUAGUUCUUAAGCCAUUCUAUAAUUUUUUACUCUUAAGUCCAAUGAUCAAGGUUUCAAAGGGUGAGUAUUUUAUUAGCAUUUUUCAUAUUUGGUCAAAUAUAAGUUCAUAUGCACGCUAAAAUAAGCAUAUACUUGUGGUGAUGGAAAUAAACACGAAUUUUACAGCCAAUGUUAUUGUCUUAGAUUUGAGAGAGAAGCUGAACUCAGAAAUAGAACUUUCUGGGUAGAGUCAUAUCUAUUCCCAGCACAGAGGUUUCACAUGGACUCCGUCAACAUGCAUUGUUUUGAGGAGCCAUCUGCGUGUCUUUUCCUGAACCACGGACAGAACUCCACAUGUCUUGAAAUGGUUGUUUACAUUUCAGAACUCAUGGAGGAGAGGGGAAUCCUAUGGAAUGAGAGCAGAUGCCCCACCCCCACUUCCUCUUUCUCUUGAAGAAAAAGCUUUUGGAAUGACAAGUCACUUCCCCCUGCUUACAGGCACCCUGCCCCUUUGCUGAAGGCACAUCUGCCUGUGUCCCUAACUUGCCUCUUUUCCUCUGGUUGGGACUGAUUGGAGGAGUCUAAGACAGGCAGUGGGAAGUGAAAAGGGAGGCCUUGUAUAUCUCGGACAGACACAGAGCGGGUUCAGAAGCUGUUUCCAGUGGAGCCAUUGCUUCUUGAAGCAGAGUUACUUGGGCAGGUUCUUUUAGAUGUGUAUGCGUGCGCGCAUGCAUGCAUAUUUAAGAAAAAGAGACCGAAGGAACAGUGUUCAUAAAUUGGAAAAUACUAGGGCCUAAGUUUCUUGAGACACAAAGAACUCAGAUCCCUAGUGGGUGCAACUAUGAAGGUAAAUGCCUAUUGACAUUUGGCUCUAAACCUACAUGGCAUGUUUUAUUUGUUACACCCCAUGGUUCAGGACUUCAGAAGACAGCUGCUAAUGAGCUGAAUUUCUUAGUCAGUGGGAAAAAAUGGAAACUGUCUAGAAACACAGGAUGCUUUAGGGGCAGCAUAGAAGUAGGGAGAAUGAGCCAGCCCCACUGGAGGGUUCCAUCUCUGAAGUUGGUCUUUAGAAUGGAAGAAUAAGGAACAGUUUAGACCUUCUUCAAUAGCCAGUCUCCACAAGAAGUGCUGGACAUGCCUGAGAGAAGAACCAGGAGCUUAUGCCUCCGAGGUGACAGGGGAGGUGACAGGGAGAAGAAGUUUGAAGCGGACACAGGCUCUACUGUUCUUCCCGGAGUCCCACCUGCCAUCCAUCGCAUUUCUAUGGAGGUGUCAGCAGCUUUCCCAUGCAGGUCGGAACUUGUGAGGAGGCCUCCGCACUUACUCAGAGACACAGACAAAACAGCACCACUGUGAGGAGGUAGCUGACAGUAUCUUGGCCAUGCAUGCUCUCAGACAGUUCACAUCUGUGAUUUUCAUGUAAACCAGGGAGCUGGACUUUGUUCUCAGCCUACGGGUUUUUCAGACGUCUCCCGCAGGCCUAUGGGAUGAACAGAAUCCUCAAAAGGCACUGAAUUGGAGGUUGUUCAAAUCUCUCAUUAACCACUAAUGUUCAUUCAUCCCAAACUCAGAGCAUUCUGAGCCAGCAGAUGCAGGCAUUUCUGUUUUAAGUCACUUCAAACAUAAUUGAAAGGAUUUCACUGAGAGCAGACUCUCAGAGGUAAAAAUAAAUAUGUCACAAAAACUCUUUGGUAUAUGAGGUAUCCUAUGAUUCCUGGUGGAAAGAUUUGAACAAGUAGACUUUCGAGUUAAUAAAACAUGUUCCAUUUCUUUGAUUCAUAUUUAAAGACAUAAAUUUAUAUGCACAGGGAUAAAGAGUCCAUUUGCCAAGUGUGAAUCAUAACAGGCCACCAAGUUCAUUUUUAUUUUCUAGAACAAAAGUGUCACUUAUUAUUGGGUAGAGAAAGAGUUAUUUCUGCAGAGAAAGAAGAAAACGUGGAUUUUGACAUGGACCAUCUUAUCCAUUAUUCAAUGCCUGUGCCUGAACAUGUUCAGUGUGGUGUAGCCUAUAAGUCAGCAAGGAAGUGCCCUCGAACUGUAGAGAAUCAGAGCUUUGUUCCCUGGGCAGAGCUCAAACACCAGGGGGUCAUGAGCUAGGCACUGCAGGUCAGCCCCACAGCCUGUGUCUUUUGAGCCAUUUUGUUCAUGGAUAAUUUAAAUAUAGGACCACCAAACAAUAAAAACUUACCAUGAAUCUGGCAGAAAACUCAAGGCCACACUAGCUACAUAUAGUUUACUAUUCUGAUGUAAGUAGAACUAUCUGCAUAUAAUGUGAUUUAAUUUAUUGUUGUUCUGUGUAGAAAGCAAGGAUUAAUGAUUGUGGAUAUAACCCUGUUUUGUAUAAUAUAUUUGAUUUCUGGUGCAAAAUUGGUCAUUUAAGCAAUCUACUUCAUUUGGUGUUUGGAUAUAAAUGUGUAUGUGUUCUUGUAAAGGUUCAUAUUCAGCAAGAAUAUCACAUAGCUAAGUAUAACAAUAUGUUCUCAUUAAAAGUAUAAGUUACAGAAA